rnacentral:tRNA from 1 species
GGGCCUAUAGUUCAGUGGUAGAACACCACAUUUGCAAUGUGGGAGCGGCAGUUCGAUUCUGCCUAGGUCCA